AGCUUGUGCUAAAUGACAAAUGAUGUUUAUGCCAAUAAUGCAGAACACGCAAUACAUUGUUUUGCACAUACAGUACAUCGCCAUCAUCUACAGAAUUGUGAUGAACAGCAGGAACAGAACCUUCCUUCAGUCCAAGUCUUCUGGUAAAUCCUGCCGUGUUGGUAGUUUUCAGAGGACUCUGUCAUGAAGUGGUGGUGGAAGAUGGUGAGGGAAACGCAGCAGACCCAGGAUGAGACGAGUAAGAUGGUUUUAAUAAUGAAUAUCCUGAAAUACACAGUCCAAUAAUGUCCAGAAUACCGGGCAGCACGGCUGUGCGGAAGCCAGGGCUCGACGCCGGUAGCAACCAGUUACACAAAGGAUGAGACGACGGACUGAGGAACAUCAGACGACAGAGACUAGACGCCAAAUGAGACGAGGACCAACAAAGACACAGGUGACACUAAAUACACAGGAGGUAAUCAGGGAACGAGACACACUUGGGAACUAAUCAAGGGGAGACAGGACAACACGGAGACUCAGAGACACAGGAACUCAAAACAAACACACAGAGAAACUCAAAUCAUGACGGACUCCUUCCUAAACUGAUCUGUGCAAAUUGCAACUUAUAUUCCAUGGACAUUGCAAGCAAAAUAAAGUAACGCAUCUCUGUUCUCCAUUCGUAGGAGUAGAUGCAUGGACACAUGCAGCCGAUAACAAAACAUUUUCUUUUUCCAGCAGCUAUUAUGCAGCACAGGGACGCCUGCAGGAUACUAUUGGAGUGGACGCACAAUAUUAUCACUGCACCUGACCCACAAGAGCACUACCACAUCUCUUAACACAUCAUCACAUCAGGGUAGAACGUCUUCUCCAUCUAGGUCCAGCCCUCAGAGUCAGAAAACUCUUCUCCUCUAAACCAGAUCUCAACUUCUUGAUUUCUUCCUGCUUCCACAAAGAUUCUUUGUUACUGUUUCAAUCCUCAUCUUGACACCAUCUUUUGGCCGCCAGUGAAACAUCUUCUUGUUGUGGAAUAAUCAAAAUUUCUUUGGUUCCCAUUUGAUGAAAACAGCUUCAGAAAUCCUUGGCAACAGUUCAAUUCAGUGACAUUUCCUCUAAGAAGGAAAGAAAAAAAUAGAUCACCUAGCUUCAGGAAACUUUAGCUGUGAUGCUCAUAGGCUCAAUAGACACAGUCUUUUAUAAGCUCUAAGUUAAUUAUUUUUGCAGCAGAGAAUGCUGUCUGGCAUCUGUAGCCUUUGUGCUGCAGGCGCUGCAACCCUGCAGGCCGUCUGUGAUGCAUGAACGUCCCAGACUGCAGAGCCAGAGGUAAAUUUAGAGAAAGGAGCCAAAUUCUCUCCUCUCUGUAACUGAAUUACAGUUACACUCUGUUUUUUCCUGAAGAAAGACUGAAGAACAUCCAGUAGAUGGAUUUUAGUUGGGAAGAAACACUGAAGGACCCUCAAUGCUCCUACUGUUAAAUACAUCAGCUUAUUGAGUUUAUAAUUUGUGGAAUGUAGAUUGUAAUGCAUGGAAAUUAAAAAAUAAGUUGUUUUUCACUACAAGUGUUGUGUGACAUGACAUCAUUUUAGGGUUAUUUGUAAUUUAGAAGCACAAUAAAAGAAAAAAAUAGGCGAGAAUGGCUUUUGACAGAAACAAAAAUACUCUUCUGCGUCAUUAAAUCUAAAACUUAUAUGUUUAUGUAUGUAUUUCAAACAUGAUAACAGUAUAAAAUGACACACAUGAACAAGGAAUGCAAAAAGACAAAUACUUUUUUGUACCACAAAAAUUUUAACAUACUCGAAAAGGAGUAGGAAGAAGUAAGAAACUUAUGAACUCAUACAAUACUUUCAGACGGACCCUCAUUAGAUCAAAUUAAAAAAUAAAAUAUAAACAUAGGUUAAUUAAUUCAUAUUAAUUACAUGUGUCUAAAUAUACACAUCCGUACAUCCAUACCCACCCACACUCAAAUGCGUUAGCCUCAAUUUACAAAUACACAUUAGUGCUAACUCUCACCCAUAUUUCUCAGGUAGCAGUUUAUUUGAUUCCUUUAACAUAAUUUGAGCAAUUUUAAAUUCCACCAGAUCUUCAAAUUUAAUCUAUCCAAAAACAAAUAUUUUUUAACUAAAUAAAAAUAAUAUCUGUUGAUGUGUGAGCAGAGCAUUAUAUAAAAAAACGAACAUUUCUCACAAACUGAGACUUGUUCAAGGCAUUAAGCCUUGAACAAGGAGCUUGGCUUCCUCCUAUUAUAUAAGUAAUCCUGAUGUUGUUUUCUUUUGAGCAACCUAGUUUUAAACCACUUAUCCAUUAUUAUUUUUCACCACAAUCCUUUGGUAAGCUAACUGUCCAAAAAAAAACCUGUUGCUUACAGGCAGUACCUUAUGGACCAUUAGGGGGCGCCUGCAGACACCAGUUUGAGAAAGACAGCCAUAAUCAAUGCAUAUAAAUUUGUUGGUAUUGCUUAAUCUCUGCUCGCCACUAUCUCUAAAACUGUGGGUAUGUUUUAGACAUCCACAGUUGUGUCUGGCAAGUUUUCUGUCAGGCUUAACAGAAAUAUGAAACCAGUUGUUAACUAUUAAACAUCUCUGCCAGUAGCAUUUCACUAGAGAUUCAACAGAGCAGAUGGUUUGAAUAAAGUAGUGCAUCUUUGUAGCUGUUCUUUAUUUAGUUUUCUUAUUAAAAGUUAAUGAAGCAGCCUACAUUCUAAAGUCAUGUCAGAUGCCAUAUGAAAAAGGCAUACAGUGUAGUUAUGGUGCCUCCAAAAACAUGAAAUUCACUAACUGACUAUCUGUGUUAAUAAAAAUUCAGCAAUGUAAAAUCAGAGUCAAUAGCACAGUUGAAACCAAAAGUUUACAUACAUCAACUAUAAAGACAAAUACAUCUAUUUGAUCACUGUCUGAAAUUAAAUCUCAUAUAAUUUACAUGGAAAUUGAUCUCUUGUGUUAGGUGAAUUAGAAUAACAAGAAUAUUUUUAUUUGUCAUAAUAAUGAGAGAAAGAAUAUGUCAGAAAUGUAUUUAUUAAUGUGUUGAAAAUCAGAAGUUCACGUACAUUUUCUCGGUAUUUGGUUGAAUUGCCUUUGAAAUAUUUGACUUGACUCAAUGUUUUGGGUUUCCUUCCACAAGCUUCUCACAAUAGUUUGCUGGAUUUCUGGUCCAUUCCUCAUAUCUACUCCCAAAUUCGCAAUAGGAUUGAAGUCAGGACUUUGUGAUGGUCACAACAAAUGGUAAAUGGUAAAUGGCUUUGUACUUGCAUAGCACCUUAUCAAGUCCAGAGGACCUCACCCUACACUACACUCAUUCACCCAUUCACAUGCUGAUGCUGGUAUCUUACUGGAUAGUAGCCACAGCUGCCCUGGGGCAGUUUGACAAUAGCAAAGCUGUCAUACACCAGCACCACCUGGCCCUCUGACCCCACAAGCAGGCAAGGUGGGUGAAGUAUCUUGUCCAAGGUUGCAGCGACAUAGCCAGGUGGAGCGGGGAUCGAAUCAGCAAUUUGCCUAUUACAAGGCAAACUCCUACCACCACCAACUCCGUCACCAUCACCCAAACAAAACAUUGACUUUGUUGUCCACAAGUCAUUUUGUAACAACUUUAAAUGUAUGCUGAGGGCUAUUGUCCAUUUGGAAGAUCCAUUUGCAACUGAGGUUUUACUCACUGGCUGAUGUCUUUAGUUGCUUCAAUAUUUCCACAAAAUGUUCUUUCUUCAUGAUGCUAUCUAUUUAAUGAAGUGUACUGGUUCCCCCUGGAGCAAAAUAGCCCUACAACAUGAUGCUGUACAGAUGUAAUGAUGGUGAUUAUGGUCAAACAGUUCCACUACUUUCAUCAGAAUACUGGAUAUGUCCUCAAAAUAUAGAUCUUUGUCAAUGUGUGCAAUCUGGCUUUUUCAUGUUUCUUGUAGAAACAUGAAUGACUUCCUCCUCUCUGAGAGUCCUUUCAGCCUACAUCAAUACAAGACAUGUUUUACUGUGGAUAAUGACCUUCUUAACAGUUUCAGCCAGCAUAAUCAAUGAAGUUUUUUUCAUGCUGAAACACACUGUAUGUUUCAAUGGGAUUGAUUUUCUUUUAGAAAAUGUGCUCUAUUACUAUGGCUUUGCAAUGAAACAUUUCCAACUGGACAACAUAGGCCUGUUCAGAAACAUUUGAUCUUACCUGACCAGUGAUCUCACCUAUAUGUUUCAACUGUUUUAGGACUUUGAGCAGUUGAUAAAUGAUAAUGUUAAUAAAAAACAAAAUAAAAAAUAAUUUAGAAAACAAAGAAAACCUUGUAUGACAAGCAGAAGACAGAAAACAAAAAGUAUUAAAAUGGAUAAUGUUCCUUUUUUAAGCCCAUGAAGCAAAUAUCACAAUUUUACAAUGCUAUAAACCAAUAUCCAUCCAUCUAUCAUCAUCCUGAAAUGUUACAAUACUACUGCAUUAUUCUGUUCUUGAACAAUGCUGAAAGAUAACUGUCAGAACUGCUUUCCUAACACCGGCUCUAAUCCAUGCUCAAGCUUUUAAAAACAGUUGGCUUUUUUUUAAAGGAGGCUUAGAAAAAGUGCAAAAAUGGAAUAGCUUCAAGUAGUGAAAUGAAAUAUGGUAAGAAUAUGAAUGCAGACAAUGGUCUUACCCAUCACCUAUAUGUCUUUAUUGAUUCAGGGGCAGACACUGAAUUAAUGCCCUGUGAACUCGCCAAGUCUCCUGGCAUCCAACUCUUACCCACCUCUAAGUAUCUUGAAGUUUUGGCAAUUAUUGGCCACAUAUUUCACCAGGCCACCCAUGAAACAGGUCAUAUAAAGUUCAGUGUUUCAGGGAAUAACCAUGAACUUAUUUUCUUCCUGAUCAUAAAUCUAAAUGGGCCCCCUGUCAUUUUGGAAGCCAAUUGGCUGAAAAGACACAAUCCCUACAUUGAUUGGGUUAAUAGUGAGGUGAUGGGAUGGUCACCAACUUGCUAUUCCUCUUGCCUCUUAGCAUCUUUGGUCCCCUGUUCUGUCCCUACCAGUGGUCAGGAGACCUAUCCUGACUUAUCCAAGGUACCCGCUGUUUAUCAUAACCUACGGGAGGUGUUUAACAAGCAUCGAGCCCCUUCACUUCCACCUCAUCAGCCCUAUGAUUGUGCCAUCCAUCUGGUUCCUGGUACUUUUUCUCCCAGGGGUUGUCUGUUCCCUUUUUCUGGCCCAGAACCUCUGGCCCAGAGGACAAGGGAUUAUAUAAGUGAUGGACUCAAGGAAGGUACCAUCCGCCAUUCUUCCUCCCCAGUGGGAGCAGGCUUCUUCUUUGUGGGCAAAAAGAUGGUUCCUUAAGACCCUGUAUUGACUACAGAGAGAUGAAUGGAAUUAUAGUCAAAAAUUGUUACCCACUUGCCCUAAUCAACACUGUCUUUGACCUGAUCCAGGGAUCCACAGUUUUUACCAAGCUCGAUCUUAGAAAUGCCUACCAUCUGGUCUGUAUCAAGGUGGGGGAUGAGUGGAAGAUGGCGUUUUACACUCCAACAGGUCAUUACGAAUACCUCGUAAAGCCUUUGGACCUGACCAAUGCUUCAGCGGUGUUCCAGGCACUCGUCAAUGAUGUCCUCAGGGACAUGGUUAGAUGUUUUGCUUGUGUUUACCUGGAUGACAUUUUGAUUUUCUCUAAGGAUCUCAUGGCCCAGCAAGCUCAUGUUUGUUCCGUCAUUUUCUGUUUGCUGCAGAACAACCUGUUUAUUUCUGCAGAGAAGUGUGAGUUUCACAAACCUUAUACUUCAGUCUUGGCUUUCAUCAUCUCUAACAAGGUCUCCAUGGACCUCAGCAAGACGGAUGCUGUCAAGAACUGGCCCCUCCCACAAGACCGUAGACAACUAUAAAGAUUUCUAGGAUUUCCAAACUUUCAUUGCCGGAUCAUCCAAAAAAUCAGGUCUGUGGCCUCUCCACUUCAUGGCCUUACCUCAUCCAAGUACCAGUUCAUUUGGGGUAAGACUGAUAAGUCCUUUGACUGCCUCAAGAGGGCAUUCACCUCAGCUCCUGUCCUCCACUCACCAUACCCUUCCCACGAAUUCAUCAUAGACAUUGAUGCUUCUGAUUCAGCAGUGGGAGCCAUACUCAGUCAGAGGUGCACUGAUGGAAAGACACACCCAUGUGCUUUCUUUUCCAGGAAGUUGUCUUCUGCAGAGAGUAACUAUAAUGUUAGUGACUGUGAACUGUGGCGGAUAAACUGGCACUCGAGAAGUGGAGGCACUGGCUGGAGGGAGCUAAGGAACCUUUCAUGGUUUGGACUGAUCAUAAAAAUCUGCAGUACCUCAAGUCAGUAAGAAGACUCAACCCCAGGCAACCCAAAGAACACAAAGUGUGACACACUUUCCAGGCUUCAUGAAACUACACAGGAGAUGCAGGAGGCAAGGCAGGUGGACUAUGUGCUUCCCAGAUUGGUACAGCUAGCAGUUACCGAACUUGAGCUGGAGCAGAAAAUAAGCGAGGCCCAUCAGCAAAACCCCAUCCCAGAGAGUUGUCCAAAAGAUCAACUAUUUGUCGCUGAUCAUCUCAUACCAGAGGAACUCUCAUUUUGUCACGAAUCUUGACUUUUUUGUCAUCCUGGAGUCACUAAGACCCUAUCGGUGAUCAAAAGUUGUUUCUGGUGGGGAACUAUGCUUCAAGAUGUCACAGAGUUCAUCAGAGCUUGCCAAGUUUGCAGUCAGUUUAAACCGUCCCAUCAGAGAACCGCAAGCUAGCUCCGCAUUAUCAACCCAGUGGUUGUUUGGCUCUGCCUCCCUAGAACCAUCAAAGUCUGUCCCACCUUUCAUGUGUCCCAAAUCACAUGGGACAUAUGAAAGGUGUCCCAUAUUGGGGUUGUGUCAUCCAUUACCUGGUGGACUGGGAGAGAUGCGGACCAGAGGAGAGCUCCUGGGUGCCAGCCUUUAUAAGGGACUUUCUUCAUUGUAAUCCUGACCAGCCAGGUGGUCCUUCUGUUGUCGGACAAUGAGGUGGGGAUACUGUCAUGAUUCAUGUUCUGUGUCAUGUCCAUGCUGUGUUUAGCCGUUCAUUCAGCUCACCUGUCAUGCCUGAUUGCUUACCUGUCUCACCUGGGUCCCGCUCAACUUAAACACCGCUUAGUCUCUGCCUCCUUUCCAGAUUAUCGACCGUCUUGAACCAAUAGAAAUCCAGCGUUUUCUUCCAAGUCUUCAGCAUAUUAACAACCUUUUCUGUCCACGGAUUUAUCCCUCCUGACAGUCUGGUUACUUGCAGCAAAGAAGAGUAUUCUUUGCUGUCAGUGUUAUUUCAAACAUAUUUCUUUUUUUAUUUGCAACAAUAUUUAACUUUGCUAUCAUCAAUACAUUUAAAAAUGCAAAAUGGGAUUAAAACAUGAACAACUCCCUGAGAAUUGUUUUUUAUUUUUCAUCCCCCCCUGCAAUGGCACUGUGCACCUUCCACACUUUGGGAGCCACUGGUUUAGAUGUUGAGGGGGAAUUAGCUCAAAUGGUAGAGCGUUCGCUGUGCAAAGGCCAAAGCUGACAUAUGACUGAUCUUUGCAUUUCCCAAAAUGGAUCUUGCAGUGGGGCAGAACCAAGAACUGGUCAGCAGCAUCCCCUCCAUUCUGCUUAACAAAUGCUGAGGUUUUGGCCAGGUCCUCCCUGCCACAGCACUUUAAUACUUACCUACUGACAUCCUCAGUUGGCCGCAUGAGGAGUCGACUCUGAGGGGUUUUAUGGAACAAGGCAUACGGAUACAUAAUGUGACAGGGAAAAAGCAUAAACAUAGUGAUACGUAUAAAUAUUGUAUAAAUUAAUAACACAAUCAUUACACUGAAUUUCUGUUACUUUUAUUCACUCAGCAUUCAAAGAACUUACAAAUGAGAAACAUUCACUAUUCACUGCUACGCUGAAGCAAUGCCACGUAACAGUAUUCAUUAUCAAAUAUUGUAAAAUCUUAUCAUUUUUAGCUCUGUUAUGCUGCCCGCACUGUCUUGACAGCAGAACACACUCAAAACAACGCAUUGUUAUAGAUAUAAAAUCCACUGUUUUUGAUAUUAAAAAACGCAGCAAUUUUAUUAACCACAAAAAAUAACACAUAUAGGUGUCAUCUUGUUACAAUACUAAGUGUAAUUAUUUUUUUCGUCUUUCAUAUUGGCAAAGGGUAGACAAAAUCAACAAGAUAGAUCCAUUUUUGUAAAAUGGAACCAGGUAAAUGUUACACAACAACCUUUUUUCCUCUUUUUUUAUUCCAGCUUUCAGUCGAACCUCUACACAAAACUAAAAUUCUUGGUUUUAAUUCUUGGUCUGACACACUUAGCUGUUGAAAAGGAAAAUAUAUGUAAACUCACCAAUUGCCAAAGGACUCCAGAAAGUUAUUGAUGAAACAAUGCUAACACUUUGUCGUUAACAGAGUUUAGAAAGGAUCCAGAAGGUGGAACAUGAUUGGUCACUGGCUCCGGAUGUGAUUGGCCCACUGGGACAUUGGAGUGUGUACUUUAGUCUAAGAUUUACUUUAUUUUAUAGUAAAGGGCUUACUUUAGUCUAAGAUUAGUAUGCUUCAGGCGAAAGUGAGAGUUAGCAGGAUUGAUAACAGGAUCCAAAUAACCUAGCUUUGAUCAUUACUUGAUAGCCAAAGAGUUUGUACAGCAUACUUCCAAUCAUUUAAACAAGCCAGAAGAAUGAGGAGUAUAAAAAUAUGGAAAUGUUUUUUACAUUGUUUUAUUAAAAAGCUCAACAUCAGAAUGUGUCUUUGACCUGUCUCAGCCCUAACAAGAUGUGCUUGGUAAAAUAUCCUACAUCCUGAACCAGAGGGGCUGAUCAAGCUCAGAGAGAACCCAAAAUGCCAGUGUUUGCGUAUCGGCUCUUGUCAAUCAUUUUUUGAUGCACUUGGAUUUCAAAUGAAUAAAAGGACCAACACCAACUUUGAAAUGUAUUCUGCACCGAAAGAUUUAGGGUGACAUACACUAUCGAGCAGUAAAUUCAAUACCUGGAAAAUCAUGAGGGGUAUCAUGUUUUACAAUCUAUUUUGAGCAGUCAGUGUAGACCAGACUAUUAUUCAUUCUCCUUUAAAAAUCAGCUCCUUUUGUUGUCUUUGGUAGUGUGGGUGAGUGGACUAAGGUGCUGGAUUUAGGGUCCAGUCUCUGUGGAGGCAUUGGUUCUACUUCCACCACCAGAGUGAGGUCUUUUACCAAUCGGUUUCUUUCUGAAGAAUUCAAAAAAUCAAGAAGCAAAGGUGUAACUCUUGAUAUUGGGAACUGGGGUGUUCAACUGUUUUUCUGUGCUAGAAAGUGAGUUUUUAUCUUUUGAAUGAACAUUGACUGUGUUCAAUUAAACCACUUUUCUGGGGAUAUGUAAACACAUAAGACUAGAAAUUAUGUGGACAUUUUUAAUAAUAAAUGGAACAUUUAUGUAGUGUCCAUAUAUUUUCAUAAUUGUACACAAACUUUAUUCUUUCAAAGCUAUUAUUAUUCAAUGUUAGCCACUCCAUUAAAAACCCUUUUGAUUGUUCAGUAACACCAAUGUCAGCCAAAUCCCAUCAGAUUCUUAUCAACUACUUUUUGCAUAUGUAAAUUUUAUGAGUGCAAACUACUAACCACAAGGCCCCUCACAAAGCUUAGAUUGAUUUGCUUCAGAGGAGACUAUUAUGGAAAGAACAAUUGACAUGUCAGUUCCUGAGGAGCGCUUCAUCCAUCACUGUCCAACGGCCUUAUUAGUUCUUCACUACAAAGAAAUUCCUAAUUCACCCCUGAGGUUAUUAAGCUCCUGCUAACACCUCUCUUUUAUGGAAAUUUCUAUCAAUGCCCUCUUUAUUAAUUUCUCUCAUUCAUGCAGGAGAUAAAUGCAGCGAAUCCACAUAAAUUGAUGCAAACACAGAAACAUACCUGAUUAGAACAACUUUCACAACAUCUCUAAUAAUCGUGCGAACUGAUGGAAACAUUUAAUCAACAGCUUGCUCAGCUGCGCAUUACUUGUACAUUGUAGAGCGAAAAAGAAUACAAAACACUUUGUGUGUGAGAGAGCUUUUCCAUUUGUUCUCACAAACACAUUCAUGAAAAUAAAAGGUGGAUGAUGGACAGCUGAGCUCCUCUCCAUCAACAAACCUUCUGUCAACUGCAAAAUGCAACUGUUAAAACAAGGUGUGUCCACUAAUUAGCAUUACAGGUGUCUACAAUCUUGUAAUCAGUCAGUGGGCCUAUAGAUGAGGCUACAGGUAGACGCUGUGCUGUUUGUUGACAUGAUGUGUGCCACACUCAACAUGGACCAGAGGAAGCGAAGGAAAGAGUUGUCUCAGGAGAUUAG